AACGAACGCUGGCGGCAUGCCUAACACAUGCAAGUCGAACGAACCCUUCGGGGUUAGUGGCGCACGGGUGCGUAACGCGUGGGAAUCUGCCCUUUGCUUCGGAAUAACAGUUAGAAAUGACUGCUAAUACCGGAUGAUGUCUUCGGACCAAAGAUUUAUCGGCAAGGGAUGAGCCCGCGUAGGAUUAGGUAGUUGGUGGGGUAAAGGCCUACCAAGCCGACGAUCCUUAGCUGGUCUGAGAGGAUGAUCAGCCACACCGGGACUGAGACACGGCCCAGACUCCUACGGGAGGCAGCAGUGGGGAAUAUUGGACAAUGGGCGCAAGCCCGAUCCAGCAAUGCCGCGUGAGUGAUGAAGGCCUUCGGGUCGUAAAGCUCUUCUACCAGGGAUGAUAAUGACAGUACCUGGAGAAUAAGCUCCGGCUAACUCCGUGCCAGCCGCCGCCGUAAGAC
rnacentral:rRNA from 1 species